rnacentral:rRNA from 1 species
UACGGAGGGUGCGAGCGUUGUCCGGAAUCACUGGGCGUAAAGGGCGCGUAGGCGGCGCGGGGAGUCAACGGUGAAAGCUCGGCGCUCAACGCCGAGUCGGCCGUCGAUACUCCCGUGCUUGAGCACUGUAGAGGCAGGUGGAAUUCCGGGUGUAGCGGUGGAAUGCGUAGAGAUCCGGAAGAACACCGGUGGCGAAGGCGGCCUGCUGGGCAGUAGCUGACGCUGAGGCGCGACAGCGUGGGGAGCAACAGGAUU